GCAUAUCAAUAAGCGGAGGAAAAGAAACCAACAGGGAUUGCCUUAGUAACGGCGAGUGAAGCGGCAACAGCUCAAAUUUGAAAUCUGGCCCCCUCGGGGUCCGAGUUGUAAUUUGUAGAGGAUGCUUCGGCGAGGGCUCCCGUCUAAGUUCCUUGGAACAGGACGUCGUAGAGGGUGAGAAUCCCGUAUGCGAUGGGUUGCCCGAGCCAUGUGAAGCUCCUUCGACGAGUCGAGUUGUUUGGGAAUGCAGCUCUAAAUGGGAGGUAAAUUUCUUCUAAAGCUAAAUACCGGCCAGAGACCGAUAGCGCACAAGUAGAGUGAUCGAAAGAUGAAAAGCACUUUGGAAAGAGAGUUAAAAAGUACGUGAAAUUGUUGAAAGGGAAGCGCUUGCAGCCAGACUCGUCCGCAGUUGCUCAGCCGGUCUCCUGACCGGUGUACUCUUCUGCGGCCGGGCCAGCAUCAGUUCGGGCGGUCGGAUAAAGGUCCCGGGAAUGUAGCUCCUCUCGGGGAGUGUUAUAGCCCUGGGCGGAAUGCGGCCAGCCCGGACUGAGGAUCUCGCUUCGGCUAGGAUGCUGGCGUAAUGGCUGUAAGCGGCCCGUCUUGAAACACGGACC
rnacentral:rRNA from 1 species